rfam:Triticum aestivum genome assembly, contig: Triticum_aestivum_CS42_TGACv1_scaffold_328195_4BS
GUUGUACUCCCUCGGUCCGAAAAAACUUGUCCCAAGCUUGUCUCUCAAAUGGAUGUAUCUAGCACCAAGUUAGUGCUAGAUACAUUCAUUUGAGGGACAAGCUUUUCCGGACGGAGGGAGUAAUAG